UACGUAGGGUGCGAGCGUUAAUCGGAAUUACUGGGCGUAAAGCGCACGUAGGCGGCUUGUUAAGUCAGGGGUGAAAUCCUGGAGCUCAACUCCAGAACUGCCUUUGAUACUGGCGAGCUUGAGUUCGGGAGAGGUGAGUGGAACUGCGAGUGUAGAGGUGAAAUUCGUAGAUAUUCGCAAGAACACCAGUGGCGAAGGCGGCUCACUGGCCCGAUACUGACGCUGAGGUGCGAAAGCGUGGGGAGCAAACAGG
rnacentral:rRNA from 1 species